UGCAUUUUUGUGCUCUGGACGAU
rnacentral:piRNA from 1 species